rnacentral:rRNA from 1 species
GGGGGAUAUUGCACAAUGGGGGAAACCCUGAUGCAGCGACGCCGCGUGGAGGAAGAAGGUUUUCGGAUUGUAAACUCCUGUCGUUAGGGACGAUAAUGACGGUACCUAACAAGAAAGCACCGGCUAACUACGUGCCAGCAGCCGCGGUAAAACGUAGGGUGCAAGCGUUGUCCGGAAUUACUGGGUGUAAAGGGAGCGCAGGCGGGAAGACAAGUUGGAAGUGAAAACCAUGGGCUCAACCCAUGAAUUGCUUUCAAAACUGUUUUUCUUGAGUAGUGCAGAGGUAGAUGGAAUUCCCGGUGUAGCGGUAGAAUGCGUAGAUAUCGGGAGGAACACCAGUGGCGAAGGCGGUCUACUGGGCACCAACUGACGCUGAGGCUCGAAAGCAUGGGUAGCAAACAGGAUUAGAUACCCUGGUAGUCCAUGCCGUAAACGAUGAUUACUAGGUGUUGGGGGAUUGACCCCCUCAGUGCCGCAGUUAACACAAUAAGUAAUCCACCUGGGGAGUACGACCGCAAGGUUGAAACUCAAAGGAAUUGACGGGGGCCCGCACAAGCAGUGGAGUAUGUGGUUUAAUUCGAAGCAACGCGAAGAACCUUACCAGGUCUUGACAUCCGAUGCAUAGCACAGAGAUGUGUGAAAUCCUUCGGGACAUCGAGACAGGUGGUGCAUGGUUGUCGUCAGCUCGUGUCGUGAGAUGUUGGGUUAAGUCCCGCAACGAGCGCAACCCUUAUUGCCAGUUACUACGUUAAGAGGACUCUGGCGAGACUGCCGUUGACAAAACGGAGGAAGGUGGGGAUGACGUCAAAUCAUCAUGCCCUUUAUGACCUGGGCUACACACGUACUACAAUGGCGUUAAACAAAGAGAAGCAAGACCGCGAGGUGGAGCAAAACUCAAAAACAACGUCUCAGUUCAGAUUGCAGGCUGCAACUCGCCUGCAUGAAGUCGGAAUUGCUAGUAAUCGCGGAUCAGCAUGCCGCGGUGAAUACGUUCCCG